rnacentral:pre_miRNA from 1 species
UCAAAUGCUCAGACUCCUUGGUGGCUGCUUAUGCACCAUGGAUGUUUGAGCAUGUGCU